CAAUAGCGUAUAUUAAAGUUGUUGCAGUUAAAAAGCUCGUAGUUGGAUUUCUGCUGAUCGCUGUCGGUCUGCCGUCAGGUGUGUACUGGCAGUGUUUGGCAUCUAUUCGAGAUUGGGUGUCCACUUGAUUGUGUGCACUCGAUGUCGGAGCUAAUACUUUGAGAAAAUUAGAGUGUUCCACGCAGGCGCGUGCCUUGAAUACUGCAGCAUGGGAUAUUGGAAGGCCGAUUGAGCUUUCUUGUUGGUUCUCGGUUUGAUCGGAAUGAUUAAUAGGGAUAGUUGGGGGCAUUCGUAUUCAACUGUCAGAGGUGAAAUUCUUGGAUUUGUUGAAGACGGACUACUGCGAAAGCAUCUGCCAUGGAUGUUCUCAUUG
rnacentral:rRNA from 1 species